UAUUGCUAAUGACCGAACUAAUGACCAUAUAACUAACAACUAAUUGAUACACUAUUCCUAGCAUGAUCUACCCUGGAAUGACCCAGAACAUUACUCCCAGAUCUGCCGUUGACGGAAUUUCUCAUCUCUUGACUAGAACUGGGGAACUGAAGGGAGACGAUGAAGCGAUAUCACUGUUGGAUUCUAUGAAAGAAGCAACACUUCUAUUCCAGAGAGCUAUAUACUUAGAGGUGCUGAAGAUAACGGCCAGUGAGAAGACUCUGGGGACGUACCUUUCAAAGGGUGGUUGGGACCUCCUUAACUCCUGGCUUUCAGAUGCUAAGAAGACGUCUAACAAUGCCCUGGCAGUGGAAAUACUGGAGGUUCUACAACAGGUCCCAGUAACACUAGGGCUACUGAAACAAGGCAACAUGGGCAAGUUAAUGAAGAGUUAUAACAAGUCCGAGGAUAAGGAAAUCAAGAAGAAAGCUGGAGAGUUGAUGGACUCGUGGAUGAAGUUGGUGCCCACUGCUGGUAGUGGUAAGAAGAAGAAGGUGAAUGAGGAUGGCUUAACUAAGAAGGACCAACUUGUUCCAAAGAAGGCUGCCUCUAAGUCUGUUCAUUUGGCCGAGAGUCUGGGGUUCCUGGACGCUAUAACCAGUACUAGUAAGACUACUAGGAAGAUAAGGAAGAGAAGCUCUACUGAUAUAGACUUUAAGAGAUCUAACAGUCAGUCCGAAACCCCUGAACCUUCACCAGUAGCCAAAUUUAGUAAGGUGGACAAAUUAAGUCUGACAAUAGAUAAGCCAGCCUCUCCUAAAGUUGACAAUCCUAUCAAGCCAGAGAUGUUACUGACUAACUCUCCUCCCCCUCUUCCUGAUAAGAGCCAUGGUAAUGAUAAGAUGUUCUGCUUCAGACGAGCCAAGAAGCGGAGAAGGAUAAGAUGGAGAGAUGAGUUAGAGGAGGUACAAUUCUUUGAGUGUGAGGAGAAGUCUGCGAACCACAAGUCCUUCUCAGAGAGUCUCACCAAGGAAUACGAUAAAGAGAGAGCAGCCGUGCUCCGGAGCAGACAACUUGAGGAAGACAUGAUGGUCGAAAUGGCCCCCUGGAAACACCCCCUGAAGUUAGAUGCCAGUAUGUUAACAUUGGCAGAGAAGGGGGCCUCUAGUAAGGAAAAGGAGACGCAGAGAGAGCGAGAAAAGAACGUUCUAGCAGUUCUAGUGUUCGAUCAGAACGCAAUGGUGGAGUCUCCAAAAGAGCCUGAUGCUGAGGAGCUGAACUACACGUUUGUGACACCCAACAUCAUCCCCUUGACAGACAGUUCACAGAGUCAGCCUACUCCAGAACCAGAAACCCGAACACCAGAACUUUCUCCUCCGCAAUCAGUCCCACAAACCCCCUUCAGCGAGACACCAGGAACUCAGCAGCUACCUCCAGUACUUGCCAAUAUAAUCCCUCAGCCUCUGCUGAUGCCCUCCAUGCCCUCUAUGCCGGAGAUGCUGCCCCAUCCUAAUCAGGAUCUGCUGCCCCACCCCCAGUACAACUUGCCCGUACAGCGGUACCCAAACCAGCAGAACCAAGUACCACCGCAGCAACCACCACAACCACCGCAGCAGCAGCAACAGCAACAGCAAUACCAUCCUGUCCCACCGAGCCAACCUUCCUCUUACAAUAACUACAACCCAGAAAACAACCGCAACUUUGACCCCCACAGUCGUAAUGGUCGUGAUAACUACAGUAAGAGAGGUGAGGGAGGCUGGAACUACAGGAAGGGAGGUCAUGGAGGGAGACAGUACCGGGAUUGGAUAGACUCGGACCGCAGGAGGGAUGAGAACCCCCGAUUCCAGCACCGACCCAGGAGACCCUGCGCUUACUUUAACACAAAACAGGGCUGCAGAGAGGGCAACAAUUGCAAGUUUAUACACGAGACUGGGUUACACGGCUCACUCCCGGGACAGUAUAAUAGACAGUGGGAUGAGAGGGACAGUAGGGACGGCCGGGACAGAGGGGUCCACAUCAGUAGGGACACAGAAGAUAAGGACCAAAGUAAGAACUCUGAUAAGACAGCAGAGUCGCUGGAGAAUAAAUCUCCUUCAGCAGCAACGUGACGAAGUGUAGAGCACUAUAUCAAUCAUACUUGAUCCAAUACACUUGUUGACUUGCUAAUGUGAGAGAGAAUAAAAGACACGGACUUUGAAUUCAGUCGAGCCAAUCUUUAUGUACUUUUCACACGAACAGAAUUAUUGACAUAUUAGCCAGAUCAAAUUGGCUGGGCGUGUUUUUGUUGCAUGUACGUAUCCCAAGUAACACAGUAUUUCAGUUUGCUAUCAUAUAACUGUUUUAUACUGUUAAAGAGUGGAAGCUUUUAAUUUUUACACCCGAAUUCCAAUUUUGAUAAUGUUUGAUGAAUCUUUGUCAGAGAAUCAAUUAUUAAUUUAUGGUAUUUAAGGAUUUGACUUUUAAUAAAAUUUAAUUGUUUCAGUGUUCUGCAUCUGGAGCGCUGCUCGAUAAAAAUAAAAAUAAUACAUUGGGGAUCAUGAAACUGUAAGGAACUUACAAACGACUCCACCAUCGAUAAUUUGGAGAUGUGCCAAAAUGUGACCACGACAUGAGCUAUUCUUGAACUUCUGAAGUAAUUUAAGAAGUCGUCAGCUCCCACAUAACAUUUUAUCUUAUCAGUUCAUUCUCAUAUGACACCUUGACCCAGUUUUGCGUGCUUUGUUCGAUUUUUGAUAAGUUGUCAAAUUUGAAGCAAGCACUCUAUCUUAAUCAUGAUGCCUUGUUCAUCAAUGCCAUCGAUACUGUCAGAGGAUCUAAACAGUAUUUUGAAUACGACAGCAAGGUCUAGACGUCUCGGAAGGAAAGAACCGAGGUACAAACGGAGAGUGUCCCGAAAAUUAUCCCAUCAACUCAGUGUCGACAAUGACAUUUUGGUAGCAGGAGAAGAUUUGCACGAUCGGGUCAAAAAGGACAAGAGUUUGGUAAAAACUUGCUCUUAUCUCGGAAAAACAUACGUUUCCUCCUUCAAAGGAGAAGAAUUACUGCACUGGAUGGUAUCUCAUUGCUGGGCUGCGCACGCCCUAGAGGCUGUUUCUAUUUGUCAGCUGCUGCUCACUCAUAAUGUUAUCUGCAAUAUAUCAGACUCUAGAAAUCUGAUGACAUUUAAGAAGUUUGCAAUUUACCGGUUUCGGAAUG